rnacentral:rRNA from 1 species
UACGUAGGGUGCGAGCGUUAAUCGGAAUUACUGGGCGUAAAGGGAGCGUAGGCGGCGUGGUAAGUCAGACGUGAAAUCCCGGGGCUCAACCCCGGAACUGCAUCCGAUACUGCCAUGCUUGAGUAAUGGAGGGGUAGCUGGAAUUCUCGGUGUAGCAGUGAAAUGCGUGGAUAUCGAGAGGAACACUCGUGGCGAAGGCGAGCUACUGGACAUUUACUGACGCUGAGGCUCGAAGGCUAGGGGAGCAAAAGGG